AGUAUAAAAAUCGUCCACGUACAGAGCUAAGUAUUACACUUCUGGAAAAAGGACGAAUCCUCUCAAAGAUACCUUAUCCCGUAAAGAACCACUUCAGCUAUAAAUGGACGUUGAAUCAAGCCACAGCAAUGAGGAUCUAAACGAUAUCCAGGAAUUUAUUGAAGAACAUUUAAUUUCACACCAGGAGGAAGUAAUUGAGCAUCCUCCUAUGCUCAUUCCCCUCUCACCUACAAUCAUUCCAUUGUCCCCGACAUUUUUUUUGGAUAGUCAGAAUGAUACAAUCCCAGGGCACAGCAUUUCCCUUGAGCUACCGUGCGAUCUAAUCGUGCCUGAGGACUUUUUAAAUAAUUUCUCAGUGAUAACAGAAAAGCCGGAAAAAGCUGAAUAUAUUGAAGAUUCUGAGCUUUUGGAACAGUACUUCAAGACAUCCUUCAGUGAUCUAGCGUCAGAC